GCUUGCUCUUAGGGGUGGCGAGUGGCGGACGGGUGAGGAAUACAUCGGAAUCUACUUUUUCGGGGGGGAUAACGUAGGGAAACUUACGCUAAUACCGCAUACGACCUACGGGUGAAAGCAGGGGACCUUCGGGCCUUGCGCGAUUGAAUGAGCCGAUGUCGGAUUAGCUAGUUGGCGGGGUAAAGGCCCACCAAGGCGACGAUCCGUAGCUGGUCUGAGAGGAUGAUCAGCCACACUGGAACUGAGACACGGUCCAGACUCCUACGGGAGGCAGCAGUGGGGAAUAUUGGACAAUGGGCGCAAGCCUGAUCCAGCCAUACCGCGUGGGUGAAGAAGGCCUUCGGGUUGUAAAGCCCUUUUGUUGGGAAAGAAAUCCAGCCGGUUAAUACCUGGUUGGGAUGACGGUACCCAAAGAAUAAGCACCGGCUAACUUCGUGCCAGCAGCCGCGGUAAUACGAAGGGUGCAAGCGUUACUCGGAAUUACUGGGCGUAAAGCGUGCGUAGGUGGUUGUUUAAGUCUGUUGUGAAAGCCCUGGGCUCAACCUGGGAACUGCAGUGGAAACUGGACAACUAGAGUGUGGUAGAGGGUAGCGGAAUUCCCGGUGUAGCAGUGAAAUGCGUAGAGAUCGGGAGGAACAUCCAUGGCGAAGGCAGCUACCUGGACCAACACUGACACUGAGGCA
rnacentral:rRNA from 1 species